UACGUAGGGUGCGAGCGUUGUCCGGAAUUAUUGGGCGUAAAGGGCUCGUAGGCGGUUUGUCGCGUCGGGAGUGAAGACACACAGCUUAACUGUGUGCUUGCUUCCGAUACGGGCAGACUAGAGGUAUGCAGGGGAGAACGGAAUUCCUGGUGUAGCGGUGAAAUGCGCAGAUAUCAGGAGGAACACCGGUGGCGAAGGCGGUUCUCUGGGCAUUACCUGACGCUGAGGAGCGAAAGUGUGGGGAGCGAACAGG
rnacentral:rRNA from 1 species